CAGCAAAGUUGACGACAAUCAACAAAUUGAAAUGCAUAUGAUGACAACAACAACAAUAAAUCAGCGGUAAAAAUCCCUUAAAAGCUCAUUACGAAGUGCAAAGGAACACGCCACCGAAAAUUAAUUCCAAAAAGUCAGCCAAGCAAUAAGAAAAGCAAGAUUAAGAAUAUCCCAAGCUCUACUCCCUUUCGUUCUCCGAUUUUGACCCCACAUUUUCCCAUCAUUCCCUUCCCCCAUUGUUGUUUUCCUCUUCAAAUUCGCCUUAUGACAAAUUAUUUUCCCCUUUUAGAUUAACCCUUCAAAUCUUCUCUCUUUCUCUCAAUCUCCCAUGGAAGAUUACAGGUACCAUGGAAAUGGGUUCAGUGGAGAGAACAAUACAGAGUUCAACUAUGCCACAAACUCUCGAAAUUCUUACGAAUUGCGAUCAUAUUCUGCAACUUACGCACAAACCCAGAUGGAAAUCAGGGAUUCCCAGUUCAAGAAAGGGAAAUCCCAUUCCGGGUCUGUCUCAAAAUCUUGGAGUUUCUCGGACCCGGAAUUUCAGAGGAAGAAGAGAGUUGCUAACUACAAGAUGUAUUCUGUUGAAGGCAAAAUGAAGGGUUCUUUCCGAAACAGUUUUAGAUGGCUGAAACGUAAAUGCGAACAUGUCGUUUAUGGCUGGUGGUGAUCCCUUCGGAUUUGAAUUUGGUUGAACUAGCCACAACAAGUAGAGUAUCGUUGAUGAAGAUUGACGUUUAUAUACAACGUACACCAGUUCAACCUUAGACUUUGAGUUGUUUCGCUCUUUAGUUCGAUGGUACUGAGAGAAUUGCUUUCCAUAGUCGAAUUAAACCAUUGGUUUCAUGCCCUGAACAAUGCACAUUGUUGAGAUCUUAUAAACAUUGAUUGUGUUAAUUUAUUCAUCAGUACAAAUCACUUGUGUUA